CGGGUUUCCUCGCUAUGACUAUGUCAAAAUCACCAUAUGUUUGACAUCCAAUAGCCGAUGAAUUAAUAAAUCAAUGUGAUCUAGUGGUGUCGUUAAACAAAACAAACUAUUAUUUAUCAUUGUCAGCGUCGAUAGGUUAUAAUCAUCGGUGGUGAAAUGGACAGUUUGAGAACUAAAGGAAUGGCUGUUUUAUAUUUUCUACACUGAACUGUUGGUUACAUGUCAAUCUCUUGUUCUCAAGUCAAAUAUUCUUCUCUGCAACAAUCGUAAUUAAUCACCUGAACAUUCUGUCUGUGUUUCCAUAGAUGAACUCGCCGAGUGCAACCACCUCAUUUCUAAUGUGUUCAGUCAGUUCUUCGUAUCUGUCUUUAUGACUGGUCCCUUCUCCAAUUAAUACUCAUUGACUCAGAUUAAAUAUUAUCCUUACU